rnacentral:rRNA from 1 species
UAUUGGUCAAUGGACGAGAGUCUGAACCAGCCAAGUAGCGUGAAGGAUGACUGCCCUAUGUGUUGUAAACUUCUUUUAUAUGGGAAUAAAGUUUUCCACGUGUGGGAUUUUGUAUGUACUAUAUGACUAAGGAUCGGCUAACUCCGUGCCAGCGGCCGCGGUAAUACGGAGGAUCCGAGCGUUAUCCGGAUUUAUAGGGUUUAAAGGGAACGUAGGUGGACAGUUAAGUCAGUUGUGAAAGUUUGCGGCUCAACCGUAAAAUUGCAGUUGAUACUGGCUGUCUUGAGUACAGUAGAGGUGGGCGGAAUUCGUGGUGUAGCGGUGAAAUGCUUAGAUAUCACGAAGAACUCCGAUUGCGAAGGCAGCUCACUGGACUGCAACUGACACUGAUGCUCGAAAGUGUGGGUAUCAAACAGG